rnacentral:rRNA from 1 species
GUGGGGAAUAUUGGACAAUGGGCGAAAGCCUGAUCCAGCCAUGCCGCGUGUGUGAAGAAGGUCUUCGGAUUGUAAAGCACUUUAAGUUGGGAGGAAGGGCAGUAAGUUAAUACCUUGCUGUUUUGACGUUACCGACAGAAUAAGCACCGGCUAACUUCGUGCCAGCAGCCGCGGUAAUACGAAGGGUGCAAGCGUUAAUCGGAAUUACUGGGCGUAAAGCGCGCGUAGGUGGUUUUGUAAGGUGGAGGUGAAAUCCCCGGGCUCAACCUGGGAACUGCCUCCAAAACUGCAUGACUAGAGUACGGUAGAGGGUAGUGGAAUUUCCUGUGUAGCGGUUAAAUGCGUAGAUAUAGGAAGGAACACCAGUGGCGAACGCGACUACCUGGACUGAUACUGACACUGAGGUGCGAAAGCGUGGGGAGCAAACAGGAUUAGAUACCCCUGUAGUCC